GACGAACGCUGGCGGCGUGCCUAAUACAUGCAAGUCGAGCGGAAUGAAGAAGAAGCUUGCUUCUUCUGAUUUUAGCGGCGGACGGGUGAGUAACACGUGGGCAACCUACCUUGUAGAUUGGGAUAACUCCGGGAAACCGGGGCUAAUACCGAAUAAUCCAUUUUGCUUCAUGGCGAGAUGUUAAAAGGCGGCUUCGGCUGUCACUACGAGAUGGGCCCGCGGCGCAUUAGCUAAUUGGUAGGGUAAUGGCCUACCAAGGCGACGAUGCGUAGCCGACCUGAGAGGGUGAUCGGCCACACUGGGACUGAGACACGGCCCAGACUCCUACGGGAGGCAGCAGUAGGGAAUCUUCCACAAUGGACGAAAGUCUGAUGGAGCAACGCCGCGUGAGUGAAGAAGGUUUUCGGAUCGUAAAACUCUGUUGUAAGGGAAGAACACGUACGAGAGUAACUGCUCGUACCUUGACGGUACCUUAUUAGAAAGCCACGGCUAACUACGUG
rnacentral:rRNA from 1 species